rnacentral:rRNA from 1 species
AGAGUUUGAUCCUGGCUCAGAAUCAACGCUGGCGGCGUGCCUAACACAUGCAAGUCGCACGAGAAAGUGGAGCAAUCCAUGAGUACAGUGGCGCACGGGUGAGUAACACGUGAAUGAUCUACCUCCGAGUGGGGAAUAACUGAGAGAAAUCUUAGCUAAUACCGCAUAAUACCCACGGGUCAAAGCAGCAAUGCGCUUGGAGAGGAGUUCGCGGCCGAUUAGCUAGUUGGCGGGGUAAUGGCCCACCAAGGCGAUGAUCGGUAUCCGGCCUGAGAGGGCGCACGGACACACUGGAACUGAAACACGGUCCAGACUCCUACGGGAGGCAGCAGUGGGGAAUUUUGCGCAAUGGGGGAAACCCUGACGCAGCAACGCCGCGUGGAGGAUGAAAUCCCUUGGGAUGUAAACUCCUUUCGAUUGGGAAGAUUAUGACGGUACCAAUAGAAGAAGCCCCGGCUAACUUCGUGCCAGCAGCCGCGGUAAUACGAGGGGGGCAAGCGUUGUUCGGAAUUAUUGGGCGUAAAGGGUGCGUAGGCGGUUUGACAAGUCUGAUGUGAAAUCUAUGGGCUCAACCCAUAGUCUGCAUCGGAAACUGUCGGGCUUGAGUAUGGGAGAGGUGAGUGGAAUUUCCGGUGUAGCGGUGAAAUGCGUAGAUAUCGGAAGGAACACCUGUGGCGAAAGCGGCUCACUGGACCAUUACUGACGCUGAGGCACGAAAGCUAGGGGAGCAAACAGGAUUAGAUACCCUAGUAGUCC